GUUAAGCGACUAAGCGUACACGGUGGAUGCCCUGGCAGUCAGAGGCGAUGAAGGGCGUGCUAAUCUGCGAUAAGCGCCGGUAAGGUGAUAUGAACCGUUAUAACCGGCGAUACCCGAAUGGGGAAACCCAGUGUGACUCGUCACACUAUCAUUAACUGAAUCCAUAGGUUAAUGAGGCGAACCGGGGGAACUGAAACAUCUAAGUACCCCGAGGAAAAGAAAUCAACCGAGAUUCCCCCAGUAGCGGCGAGCGAACGGGGAGGAGCCCAGAGCCUGAAUCAGCAUGUGUGUUAGUGGAAGCGUCUGGAAAGGCGCGCGAUACAGGGUGACAGCCCCGUACACAAAAGCGCAUGUGCUGUGAGCUCGAUGAGUAGGGCGGGACACGUGGUAUCCUGUCUGAAUAUGGGGGGACCAUCCUCCAAGGCUAAAUACUCCUGACUGACCGAUAGUGAACCAGUACCGUGAGGGAAAGGCGAAAAGAACCCCGGCGAGGGGAGUGAAAAAGAACCUGAAACCGUGUACGUACAAGCAGUGGGAGCACAGGUUUACCUGUGUGACUGCGUACCUUUUGUAUAAUGGGUCAGCGACUUAUAUUCUGUAGCAAGGUUAACCG
rnacentral:rRNA from 2 species